UAUUCAGCAACUCCUAUCCCCACCUCCUCGUGGUACUGGCCGGAGUGCGCGUAACCUUAGGGAAGA
rnacentral:ribozyme from 1 species